GACGAACGCUGGCGGCGUGCCUAAUACAUGCAAGUCGAGCGGACUGACUGGGAGCUUGCUCUUGUUCGGUCAGCGGCGGACGGGUGAGUAACACGUGGGCAACCUGCCCGCAAGACCGGGAUAACUCCGGGAAACCGGAGCUAAUACCGGAUAACACCGAAGACCGCAUGGUCUUUGGUUGAAAGGCGGCGCAAGCUGCCACUUGCGUAUGGGCCCGCGGCGCAUUAGUUAGUUGGUGAGGUAACGGCUCACCAAGGCGACGAUGCGUAGCCGGCCUGAGAGGGUGAGCGGCCAGACUGGGAGUGAGACACGGCCCAGACGCCCACGGGAGGCAGCAGUAGGGAAUCUUCCGCAAGAGGCGAAAGCCUGACGGCGCGACGCCGCGUGAGCGAAGAAGGCCUUCGGGUCGUAAAGCUCUGUUGUGAGGGACGAAGGAGCGCCGUUUGAAGAAGGCGGCGCGGUGACGGUACCUCACGAGGAAGCCCCGGCUAACUACGUG
rnacentral:rRNA from 1 species